rnacentral:rRNA from 1 species
ACUCCUGCGGGAGGCAGCAGUGGGGAAUAUUGCACAAUGGGCGCAAGCCUGAUGCAGCCAUGCCGCGUGUGUGAAGAAGGCCUUCGGGUUGUAAAGCACUUUCAGCGGGGAGGAAGGCAAUGCGGUUAAUAACCGUGUUGAUUGACGUUACCCGCAGAAGAAGCACCGGCUAACUCCGUGCCAGCAGCCGCGGUAAUACGGAGGGUGCAAGCGUUAAUCGGAAUUACUGGGCGUAAAGCGCACGCAGGCGGUCUGUCAAGUCGGAUGUGAAAUCCCCGGGCUCAACCUGGGAACUGCAUUCGAAACUGGCAGGCUUGAGUCUUGUAGAGGGGGGUAGAAUUCCAGGUGUAGCGGUGAAAUGCGUAGAGAUCUGGAGGAAUACCGGUGGCGAAGGCGGCCCCCUGGACAAAGACUGACGCUCAGGUGCGAAAGCGUGGGGAGCAAACAGGAUUAGAAACCCCUGUAGUCCC